AAUGAACGCUGGCGGCGUGCUUAACACAUGCAAGUCGUACGAGAAAUCCUCUGCUUGCAGGGGAGAGUAAAGUGGCGCACGGGUGAGUAUCGCGUGGGUAAUCUACCCUUGAAUUCAGGAUAACACUUCGAAAGGGGUGCUAAUACUGGAUAACAUCCUGAUGGUUUAGACCAUAAGGAUCAAAGAUAGCCUCUACAUGUAAGCUAUAGUUCAGGGAUGAGCCCGCGUACCAUUAGCUAGUUGGUGGGGUAAGAGCCUACCAAGGCAACGAUGGUUAGCUGGUCUGAGAGGAUGAUCAGCCACACUGGAACUGAAACACGGUCCAGACUCCUACGGGAGGCAGCAGUGAGGAAUUUUGCGCAAUGGGGGAAACCCUGACGCAGCAACGCCGCGUGAGUGAAGAAGGCUUUCGGGUCGUAAAGCUCUGUCAAGAGGGAAGAAAGUGGGAGAUGGUAAUACUGUUUUCUAUUGACGGUACCUCUGAAGGAAGCACCGGCUAACUCCGUGCCAGCAGCCGCGGUAAUACGGGGGGUGCAAGCGUUAUUCGGAUUUAUUGGGCGUAAAGAGCGCGUAGGCGGUUUAUCAAGUCAGAUGUGAAAGCCCUGGGCUCAACCUGGGAAGUGCAUUUGAAACUAGUAGACUUGAGUAUGGGAGAGGGAAGUGGAAUUCCUGGUGUAGAGGUGAAAUUCGUAGAUAUCAGGAGGAACACCGGUGGCGAAGGCGACUUCCUGGACCAAUACUGACGCUGAGGCGCGAAGGCGUGGGGAGCAAACAGGAUUAGAUACCCUGGUAGUCCACGCAGUAAACGGUGAUCACUAGGUGUAGCGGGUAUUGACCCCUGCUGUGCCGCAGUU
rnacentral:rRNA from 1 species